rnacentral:rRNA from 1 species
GACGAACGCUGGCGGCGUGCCUAAUACAUGCAAGUAGAACGCUGAAGGAGGAGCUUGCUCUUCUGGAUGAGUUGCGAACGGGUGAGUAACGCGUAGGUAACCUGCCUGGUAGCGGGGGAUAACUAUUGGAAACGAUAGCUAAUACCGCAUAACAGUAGAUGUUGCAUGACAUUUGCUUAAAAGGUGCAAUUGCACCACUACCAGAUGGACCUGCGUUGUAUUAGCUAGUUGGUGGGGUAACGGCUCACCAAGGCGACGAUACAUAGCCGACCUGAGAGGGUGAUCGGCCACACUGGGACUGAGACACGGCCCAGACUCCUACGGGAGGCAGCAGUAGGGAAUCUUCGGCAAUGGACGGAAGUCUGACCGAGCAACGCCGCGUGAGUGAAGAAGGUUUUCGGAUCGUAAAGCUCUGUUGUAAGAGAAGAACGAGUGUGAGAGUGGAAAGUUCACGCUGUGACG